rnacentral:lncRNA from 1 species
ACAGCAGCAACAGCAACUCCAACUUCAGCAACAGCUACAACAACUUCAACAGAUGAAAGGGUUUCAAGAUCUACCUCAAUUUAAGGGAAUGAAGAUGCCACCUAAUCAGAACCCAAACCAGCAAAUGCCUAAAGCUGUUAAAUUUGAUGUGCCUGAAGAUGAUGACGAUGAUUUUACUGACGAUGAAUUAGAUGAUGAUUAUGACGAAGAUGAUGAAGAUUUCGAUGACGAUGAUGAGUUUGAUGAUGAAAUGGCUGAUUUACCACCUAAUAAGAUGAAACCCUCUAUGCCUAUGGGAAAUGGUGCUCACAUGAUGUUGAAUGGGAAUCAUCCACAGUUUAUGAAUGCCAUGAAGGGUGCCAAUUUUAAUGGCGGUGGUGGUGGUGGUGGAAACGGGAAGAAACCUGGUGGUGGUGGUGGUGGACCUGUGCCGGUUCAAAUUCAGGGUAUGGUUGGUGGUAAUGGAAAUGGAGGAAAGAAAGAAGGCGGCGGCGGUGGAGGUAACAAAAAUAAUGGUGGUAUNNNNNNNNNNNNNNNNNNNNNNNNNNNNNNNNNNNNNNNNNNNNNNNNNNNNNNNNNNNNNNNNNNNNNNNNNNNNNNNNNNNNNNNNNNNNNNNNNNNNNNNNNNNNNNNNNNNNNNNNNNNNNNNNNNNNNNNNNNNNGCUUACCGGCAGGAGGCGGUGGAUACUUUCAAGGUGGUGGUGGUGGUGGUAUGGGUCCAGAAAUGAUGCCAGGAAAUCCUUACCAACAACAACAACAGCAACAUCAGCAGCAGCAACAACAACAGUUAAUGGCUGCUGCAAUGAACCAACAACGGGCUGCGAUGGCGGGAGGAAAUGAUCAGAGAUUUCAGCAACCAAUGAUGUAUGCAAGGCCACCUCCAGCAGUGAAUUACAUGUAUCCUCCUCCUUACGCUUAUCCUCCUCCUCCAGAUCCUUACACACACUAUUUCAGUGAUGAAAAUACUUCCAGCUGCAAUAUCAUGUGAUGAUCUAAUUCAUCUCAACCAAGUGAAGGUUCAAACUAUAGUAUUUACCCUACUCUAAUUUUAUUAUGCAAUCAAUACCAAUGGAACAUGAGUUUUUUAUUUUCAUUUUUCUUUGCUUUGAUCCCCUUUUCAACUUAGGGGUUUCUAAUUACCUGUAGUUUAUAGAUAUCUUAUAAUAAUAUUACUAUUAUUAUUAUGUUCUUUGAGAGUAAGUAGUAAGUACUUCCUAUUUUAUUUUUUUUAUAUAUUAUAUGUGUUUAUAUUUUGGAAAUAGUAAUAAAAAUAUUUCAGAAAAAAAGUUAGCAAUAUUCUUGUUAUUGAGAAUGGAAUGAACAAAAUUCCCAAUUCUGUUUGCUCAUUUGAUAAACUCAUCCAAUUGUCUAUUUACUAAACAAUCAAUCACAUUGUUUGUGUUUGGGUGUCUAGUAUUAAAUUAUUGGCUUAUCUUAUUGUGUUAUGGCAUCUUACUAUAUCUUAUCUGUAUACAUUAUUUUGUGUCUCCCUUUGUUAUUUUGGGUUUGGACCCACCCAGUUGGAAUCUCUCUAUUUCUCAUAACAAAUGAAGUUGAUUUUAAUUUGGAUCUACUAUCCCAAAUCCAACCCAAACAGUGGUUUUCAAUCACAAUCUAGUAUUAAUCAGUGGUAUUUAUAUGUCGUUUUCUAAUUUUAAGGUUAUUAUGGCAUAUGCAUCUUCAUAACUAUCCUAUAAUUGUGUGGUUGACAUUGUAAUUGAUCAUAAUGUGUAGAAUUGAUGUUUCAUCCGAAGAAUUAUUGAUGUACAGUUAAUAUAUAUAGCAAUAUGUGUGUAGAAUAGAAUUGAAUUGUUGAUGAUAAUGGUGCGGAUAUGAUAUUAGCUGCAUAGUAACAGUUCACUCACUGUUGAACCAGCUGAGGCUCAACUAAAUGUAAUACUUACGUAACUGAACCAAAUCUUUAGCUGUACACCCAAAUCACCUGGGUUGGUUCUUUUUUUUUUUCUUAAAUGUUUUCAAGCUUUUUAGUGUAGUAUAUUUAGUUAUUGGGUCAUAAGUCUUCUAAAGUCAAAGGAGUUGUUUCUAUAAUUUGGUGUAUUAGUCCAACAAUCAAUAAAAAUAAGCCACAUACACCAAACUUUUAUUUAACAUGCAAUAUUUUUUGGCAGAUGCGUCAUGCCCCUAAAUUAUCGAGGGAUAAAUUAAAAAAAAAAACAAAGAGAAAAUAUUGAGCAUAAAUACAGAAGAUGAUCUAAUUUAAUUUUUUUUAUUCCACAAAAAUUUAGGUAUAGAUCUCAAAUAAUGUUGAUAAUGAGAUACUUUUUUUAUCAUCCACAACAGUGGUUUCAUGUUUUUGUGAGAGUUGAACUCAUAUGAAAUACAGUGUAUGAUCUAUUCUUUCCUAUAUAUUCAUUACAUAAUUAAUAUAUUUUUGUCUAUCAUAUAAUCAAAUACAUUAACUAUACAAUAAAUUAAAAAAAAAAUUACUUAGGGAAUGAGUAUUUCUUAGUACCUAUGGCUAUGCUAUUUUUUUUUUCAAUAUUAGUAAUUUUAUUAUUAAGUGAUUUCAACUCUCUUUUGAUCGCAAUUGCUGGUGAUCGAACUGUAAUACUUCUUACCUAUUUUAGCGUCAAUUAACACUAAACCAACGAUAUAACUAUGCUAUUUUUGUUUAUGAUUUGUUGAGGCACGCAAAGUAAUGUGGUAGUAAUUAAUUAAAGAAGGAAAAUGUUAAACAGAGCCCCCGGGACACUAGUUAAAUAUACAAAUAUAGAAGUUUUAUCUCGUAAAUUGUGCAUUCAAUGUUUUAAUUAUGUAAAAAGUUAUUCUCUCUCAUCAUUAACUUUAUUAUUUAUUUCAUUUUUUAGUAUGCUUAACUAGUUCCCCAGACGCACUAUUUAGCAUGACCCAUUAAAAGAAUGGUAUGCAUAAGUUUUGGAUUUUUAUAAUUAAAUAAUUGUACUAGUCUUUGUUUCAAUUUGAGGAAAUCAUGGAUGUGUGCGUGGUGGGGUGCACACCGAUGAAGUUGCGCAUGGACCCCAGCUAUAUAUAUCAAUCGGCCUAAUUAAUUAAUAUGCUCUUGUGACUAGUGGGGUUUAAUGGUGGGUCAUAUACAUCAUCACCGUCACUACAAUUGUGAUAAACACCAAAUUCUUCUGUCAGGAGUGAAUUUAUUUUACACAGUACUAGUACUAGUACUAAUCUUACAUCUUAUUUAAUAAUUAUGGUUACUGUUCCCACUAAGUAACUUAACUUUACAUCUAAAUUUCAACCUCUUGAAUAAAUCAUAGUACAAAUUGGAUAUAGUAGUUAGGUGGUGUAGUGUAGAAUAUUUAGGAUAUUCACAUGGGUUGACUGUUGAAUCUGAUAUGAUAUCAUCAUUCCUUGAGUGAGUACAUCAUAAUUCUUCACUAUGAUUCUUAUAUAAAGCUUUUAUUUAGAUAUUAUAUCUUUUUUGUCAUAUGAAUUAUAAGUUUAAAAUUCGAUCUUACCGAACAGAUUCAUGAUAUAAAUUAGUAUUUACUAUAAAUUUAUCUGCUAUAAAUUAAAUUAUCAAUUAUCCAUCAUUUUUUACCAAAUAGGCAUAUAUACAUGAAAUCUAAAUCUAUUAAGUAAGAAUAUACUUGGAUGAUCUAUGAUAUAAAUUUUCAAUAUAACAGUGAAUUCGGUAUUCGUUAUAAGUGGUGCAUCGUGGUGCACCGUGCACACCACUUGAUCAGCUCUUUCAUGUUAGCCUUCACCUAUGUUUUGUGUAUAUAUAUGGUUCGUAGGAAGAGGGGACGACCUGUCGAAUUCACAUCAGAAAUUGCCAGAACACAAAUGAAAUCUUGAAUUGCAUAUAGAAACAAAACGAACCAUUUAUGUCUCGGAGCUGAGGUAUAUGAAGAAUGGCUUUUUGGUCUCUUUCGUCCAAUGGUUAGGACAUCAAGUCUAUGGUCAAAUAUUUCAUCAAGUUUUCUACGCUACAUAAGUCACGAAUAUUAUUAUAACGAAUACGAAUUUUAUAAAAUUCAUCGUCGAAUUAAAACUUAAUAUCAUAUAGACCAUUCAUAAUUUUUCUUUUAAAAAAAUCAAAAAUCAUUUGAUAUGUUAUUGAGAUUUAUCAAAAUUAACGGUUGAUGAAUUUUUAUUGAAUACCGUUAAUCUGAAUCGUCCAAUCUAUCAAUACUUUCGAGAACUAAUUUGACAACGCGUCAUACUUAAUAAUUUUGAUAUUUUUAAGAGUUUAAUUGAUAUGCACUCACAGUGUAAAAUAGUUUUACACAAUCGUCCAAUAAAUCAUCAUUAUUUUAUCAUAUCGUAUCAAGAAAGUGAGGUAAAGUAGGGUAAUGUGGCGGAAACAUGAUUGAUAUUGGUUGACGGUGUAAACAAUUAAAUCCUAUUUUUAAAGCUGAGUUAAGAUCUGUGAAUGUGUGUGUGAAUAAUUGCAAAAUCCAGUACUUCAAUAAAUAAUUGCACCAAAACAAAGAUGAACUCUUGGAACACCGUUACUUUGCUUACCCCCAUUUUUCUCAACAAUGACUACUACAGUACUACUCAUCAUUCUCUCUGAACCUUUCUAGUUUUGUUUCAUGUCUCUGCUUUGAGACUUUAGAACCAUUUCUUCUACUUGUAAUUUCAUUCUAAAAAAGUAAAAAAUAAAAAAAGUCUACCAAACAAGAAACUACAUUUUUUUCCCCCUCAUUUCUUCUCUGUUUUCUCAGAUCUAAAAUCUCAGUUGCCCAGAUCUUUGUUUAUCACAAGUUACAUACUUUCCUUGUGUUAGUUGGUGGUUGUGUAUAAAAAAUGAGUAAAGAAGAAUUUUUGAAGAUACAGGUACUCCCAUCACAUUCUCAAUGUCUGUUUACUUUUGUGUUUUAUUUUGUUUUGUUUUGUUUUGUUUUAUCUCAUUUGAUUUUUAUUUUGCUUUUGUAUUCAGAAAUCUGUUCUUAAAGUAAACAUACACUGUGAUGGAUGCAAACAAAAAGUAAAGAAAAUCUUGCAGAAAAUUGAUGGUAUGCAAUGCAGCACUAUUAUGAUUUAUUUAUUUUUAUAUAGUUUCAAUUAUUAUUAUCCUAAGUAAAACAAAACAAAACCUUAAUUUUACCGACCUAGAAUUGAAUAUGUUGUUUUUGUUGAUUAAUGAAUGGCAGGGGUGUUUACAAUUGAGAUAGAUGCAGAACAAGGGAAGGUUACAGUUUCAGGAAAUGUGGACCCAAACAUUCUCAUCAAGAAGCUUGCAAAAUCAGGGAAACAUGCUGAGUUAUGGACUGUACCUAAACCAAACAACAACAACAAUAAUAAUAAUAAUAAUAAUAAUAAUAAUAAUAAUAAUAAUAAUAAUAAUAACAAUCAGAACAACCUUGUUAACCAGUUGAAGAACAUGCAGCAAAUUGACAAGGGAAAAACUAGUGGAGGAAACAACAACAACAAAGGACAGAAUCAAAAUCAGCAGAACCAGAAGGGUGGUGGUGGUGGUGGUGGAAACAAUAACCAACCCAAAGGUGGUGUUCCACAAGGACUAAAUCCACAGCAGCAACAGCAACUCCAACUUCAGCAACAGCUACAACAACUCCAACAGAUGAAAGGGUUUCAAGAUCUACCUCAAUUCAAGGGAAUGAAGAUGCCACCUAAUCAGAACCCAAACCAGCAAAUGCCUAAAGCUGUUAAAUUUGAUGUGCCUGAAGAUGACGAGGGUGAGUUUAGUGACGAUGAAUUAGAUGAUUAUGACGACGAAGAUGAUGAUGAAGAUUUUGAUGAUGAGUUUGAUGAUGAAAUGGUUGGUUUACCACCUAAUAAGAUGAAACCGUCUAUGCCUAUGGGGAAUGGUGCUCACAUGAUGUUGAAUGGGAAUCAUCAACAGCUUAUGAAUGCCAUGAAGGGUGCCAAUUUCAAUCCUGGUGGUGGUGGUGGUGGAAACGGGAAGAAACCUGGUGGUGGUGGACCUGUGCCGGCUCAAAUUCAGGGUAUGGUUGGUGGUAAUGGAAAUGGAGGAAAGAAAGAAGGCGGCGGCGGCGGUGGAGGUAACAAAAAUAAUGGUGGCAUGCCAGAGGCUAAAAAUGG